rnacentral:lncRNA from 1 species
UUUUUUUUUUUUUUUUUUUUUUUUUUGUAGUACUAUUGGCUAUAAGAGACUUAGCAGCUUAGGACCACUAGUAGCACAUAAAACGAAUUGAGAAGGGUCUAAUGUAAUUUCGAGUGUGUUUGGAUAAUAAAUUAUUUGAGAUAAUUUUGUGAAAAAAUACUGUAACAUAUUUUUGAUGUGAUGUAGGUAAAAUAAAAAAGUGAUUAAAAAAUGUGUUGAUGAUACAAGAAAGUCAAUGUAUUUAAAUAAUGUGCAUUCCAAACACAUCUUGGACUCUAAAGUAACAGUUUAUGUGAAAAACAAAACUUGCUUAAACUUGUCAUGGUUUAAACAAAUAAAUUCCGGCUAGUAAAUUUUAAGAAUUUUAAGCAAACGAGAAAUUUACUAGGAAUCUCCAACUCCUACUCGACCUACAUUUGUACUUAACAAGUAACACCAUCGUAGAGAUGAGAAGGCCAUGUUCGUGUAAAAUGGCAAACAUGCAUCAAUGCACAGUGUUUACCGACGCAAAGAAACGGUGGCGUUUCACUUACUUUUACAUUCCACCCGACAGAGAUGCUUCCCGCGGUGUCCUCCUCUCGACAGACGAAAUGUCGAUCUCAAGAAAGCCAGCUAAAUUUUCCAAGUCAAUACUCCUUCCUAUCACCACCAAUCUGGCUACCAUAGUACUACUUUACUAUGCUGCUUAAUAGAGCCAGGCUACAGUUUUCAAUUAUUCGAGUUAGAUUGAUUGAUUGAUAAAUAAUGGUUUGCAAUUUGCAUCACUUUGUCCAAAGUCUGCAGAAAUGCAAUCUCAACAGUAACAAGGGGAAUAAAUUAACUCUGAACCCAGCUCAGAGCAAAAGUACACCUCCUGUUGUGGCAUCUGAUCACCAUAAAUAAAUGAAGGAACACGAACAAAUUAAAUGCAGAUAUUUUCUUCUUGGCUCUCUUAUAAAAAUACUUUAGGAGUCUCCCUUUCUUCAUUUUCUCUUCCUUGUUAUUUACCAAAUGCUUACCGAGUUACCAAACUAACCUAGUGGAAAAGAAGCUUCAAUUUACAAGUAUGAUUUGUUACUCUACUACAACAUGGUAUAAUGCACUUACUUGUUUUCAAAACGAUCAAUUCCCAAUGAGAACAAGGAAAAUCUUUCCUUUCCAUCUUUCUGUUUAUGUCCCGCGGGAUACCAACAUGGCAAGUAAAAUGUCAUGGAUCAAUUACCAAAAUAAACAAAACUGAUAUUUCUCCCAUGAUUUGACUCGUUCUCUGUUAAUGUUUCUUUUCAUAGUCCCGAUCAUGCUCUAAAGUAUGAUAUGCUGUUAACACAAUCCAAACACUUUAAACCACUCUAAUUGGACAAUAAUUCUUAGUAGUAUUAGAUAGUGAUCAUCAAUCAGGUACAAGCGCUUUUCAUUUGAUUUGAUUCCUUAGGAGGCCAUUCAUUUCUAUCCAAUUGGAAAAAAGAACAUCAGAACCUUUUAGUUCUCAAAUCCAAUUAUUAAAGCUAAAGUGAGGAAAAAAGUUUGUGUGAAGAAACCAUCUAAAGGGUCAUAGGAACUUUGGCAACUUACCAAAACUAAUAUGUUGCAGUCGCAAUUAAAAAGGAUACAUAACUAUAAAUGCCACUACGGCAUGAUUUACUAGUUCAUGCUUUACCAUCUACAUUUUUUGACAUUCUCAUGAUUGAUCAGAAGAAUUGGACUAAAUUUCGUACAGAGCAAUUGGGAGACCAAAGGAAACCAAUAAUAAAUAAAAAUUUACAGGAUUUUUUUUGGGGAGGGGGGGGGGGGGGUUGGGGGUAUUUGACCCUUCACCAAAACCAUCACCCGCAAUUAAGAUUGGAUCUUAAAUUUCUACUUGUUUGGUCCUAUUCUGGAAGGUGUAUCAUUAGAUACAGAUAAAGAUGAUGAUGAUGAUCCUCCCAAUUCCAAGAGGACCACGAGGACCAUACAUACAAACAUGAGUGAGUGUUACGGAUGCAGGAUCAAUUGUUGCUGUUAAAGUUUCCUCAAUGUGGGGACUCUUCUUUAUUUUCUUUCUUUCUUUUUCCUUUCUAGUGCCUGACGAGACUCCUCGCCCCUUUUUUUUGCUCCCUCCCUUUUGAUAUGGUGAAAUUUGUGUCAUAGUCAUGCUACCCAAAUCAUUGUACCUCAUCCAUUUAAAGCUUAUUCACUUCUAUCAAUGUAUUUCUUCGUCUUUCAAAUCAAUUAUCUUAUCGGCUUAUCUCCUUACCGUAGGAAAUAGUUUUUAAUAAUUAGACAUACACCACUGAAAACAUUUUUGCAGCACAAUCUCCCCACGACAAUCAAGACUCAAAGAAUACUUGGAAUCUAAUGAGAAACCUUAUCACAUCUCAGUAACCCCGUCAACCACCCUUUUUUUCUUGGGUAAAAUAUACUUUAAACCCUGCGAUUUAGUAAUUUUUCAUAUAACUUCCUCAUAGUUUUAAAAACUAUACGUAACCUCCUUAUAGUUUAGACUGAAGUGUCAAUGUGACAAAAAUGAUCCUCUAUAACGGAAUCCUAAAAAAAUAUCAAGAAUAUCCUUGUUUAAAAACUAAAAUGGUUUAUCAUAUAACUCCCUUAUGAUUUUCAAAAUAUAUACAUAACCCUUCUGUGAUUAUUUAAUAAUUUUUAACUUCAUAAAAUGAUACUUUUGACAUUUUAAUUGAUUCCAUUAUGGAAUGCAAAUUUCGUGACUUUCACACUUUAGUCCAAAUUAUGAGAGGGGUUAUAUAUAGUUUUUGAAAUCACAAGAAAGUUAUGUGAAAAAACGCUAAACCACAGGCGGUAAAGUAUAUUUUACCCAUUUUUUGUUAAAAAAAAUUCCUUAUUAGCAAUUGCAUGGUCUAGGUUAGACAUUAAAAUAGUUUAUUCUUUGGAUUAAUUUUUCUUAUAUUGAUACAUAAGUAUAACACCAGUAAAUUUUAAUACAUAGCACAUAUCUAUGCAAGAAAGUUUCAUCUUUAUUCUUAACUAAGUAACUUUCGUGCCCUGUAACUAGGGGUGUUUUGCAAAUCGAGCCGCUCGCGAUCCGUGCCUUGUAACUAGGGGUGUUUUGCAAAUCGAGCCGCUCGCGAUCGCGUGACAGUCCCACUUUCCCCUUAGGCGAACCAGAGGGUUCGGCGGGCCGCCUGCCCAGCUCUCGCCGGAACUCAGUCGUUCACUACAGUCCUCAAUUAAAUUACAAGAUAUAUCUCAAAUUUACAUCAAAUUCUCCAAGAAUUACAUAUCACAAACGAAGCGGAAACUAAUCACUUGCACUAUCAACUAAAACCUCAGGAUAUCAAAGCAAUACAAGUCGCGAAUAAAACAAAGAUCCUCCAUUCUCAUAUAAAUACAAGUACAAGCACGGUCUCAAAUAUUACACAAGGUCGAACUAAAACUUCAACGGUACAGUGGAUCAUCCAACUAUUCACACGGAGAACUUUAAUACAAACGUUUCCUUCGCCUCGAGCCCUGUGGAGGGGAAUAAAAUAUUUUUGGGGUGAGCUAGAAACUCAGAAGCAGUCAUCAAAUAUAUUUCACAGUAAUGUAUUUCAAUGAUGCCAUGAUUCAGAGAUCAAAUGUACGUCUUUUGCUCUCGUGAGCCAGUGAAAUCAUAGCACUUGAACACCCAACGCUCAAAUAGAUCAUUUAACAUUAACAGUAAGAGGGAGCCCCUUUUUUAGCUCCGGAGCCAUUUGCUCCCAGUGAACAGAGGUGGAGACGUUGGUGUUCAGCACAAGACUCCCCAAGAACUCCGUGAAGCCAAAUCAUAUCAUGAAUUCACAUGCAAGCACGCAUGAUAUGCAGUCGAGUACAUAAUGCAAGAAAACGUUCGAAAGUAACUUUGGAAACAGUUUAGGGUCACUCACCUCCACGGCUCAGAAAUUAUCCAUCAUAUAACAUUGCCUUGUCAAAUCCAAGUUUUAGUUCACAAACUCAAUGCAAACAAGUCCUUUCAAAGUUCGGACAGCACUUCCCCUUGUCUUUCUUUACUUUUCCAGCCAUCAAGGCUUCAUUAUUUUUCUCAUUCAAACCAAAGGUACACACAUAACAAGAAGUUCAUUCAAUAGCCAUUCAGCAAGCUCCCAGUAGUACAAGUACAAGUCAAGUUAGGGAAAAGUCCGGAAAUGAAAGUUAACCUCAAAAUCAGAAAAAUAGUUUUUGACAUCAUUUUGCGGUUUUGGCACCAAUGGCACUACGAUUAUCGGAUGAAGGUACAAGAUCCACCAUUUCGAAGCUAAGAGAUAGGGAUACAAUAUUGCAGAAGGUCACUCAGCCCAGUUUCGAGUGUAACUAGGUCAAAAAUACAAUAUACUACACCAGAACCGCAAAAACAGGUUCACAGAACGCAUUCUGGUGCAAACAUCAUAAAUCAGACUACCUAAGUCCAAAUCCAGAAAUUCCAAAGCCAUACGAAAGCUAAGAAACAGGGAUACAAUUCAUCAGAAGACCUCAACAACCAAUUCCGAAGCAUUCCCAACCAAAAUAACCCAUUACAGAAGCAAUUCUCAAAUUCGAGUAGAAACAGGGCAGCAAGGGUAAUUCCGUCUUUUCACAAGCUACGCUGCUCCGAUUGACCUGAAAUUUUGUAGGAACCUCUAAAAUAUCAUUCCCUACAACUUUUAUGUUUUAACCCAAGGUCAAUUCGGCCUCUAACUAUGAGCUAAAAAAUCGGGCAGAAUGUAGGAACAUGAACCCUAGUUUUCCAAUUUUUCUUCCAAAACAGAAAUUUCCAGCAAUUAACCACUUUUUCUACCUUCUAGCUUCCUUCAAUACCAUUUUCAUUCAUCAUACAUGACCACAUAAUCAUAUUCAUAUGAAAACAGAAAAAUUCCCAAUAAUUAUAAAACGUCACCAAUUCAACCAAAAUCAAGAUAUCUUUCACCCAAUCACACAUUUAAUCAACACAACUCAUUACUUUGACAUUAUCAAGACCAAAGGAAGCAUUCCCUAGCUACUCACCUUGAAAUGCCAGAAAAGGAACAACUUGGCACCUUAAUCCUCCAAGCAACUCCACUAAUCACCUUAAACUAGCUUAGCAACUCACUUUUGUGGAGAAAUUUGGAAUUUAACGGGUAGGUUUGCAAGAUUCAAGCUAGAAAUGAAGGAAAAUUGAAGAAACUCUCUCUCUCUUUCUCUCCUCCAUGGCCGGCCAACAAGAAUGAAAUAAGAAGAGAUUUUUGGGUCAAUUUUGUUAUAUGGUAAAGGUAAAGUUAAAUGGUCAAAGUCAAGAGUGAAUAGAUGGUGACACUUGUCACCUUUAGGUUUAAAACUUAUCUUUUUGUCUCUCUAAUACAAAUCUCUUAGCACCUUGUAAAAUAAUCUCACUUAAUACAAAACUCCAACAAGUUGUCAAAAAUAUAUUGCAUUUACAGCAUUUGCGGGUCCCACGUUCAUAAUACACUUCAAAAUUAACGUGGACUAACUUGUAUCAAGAAAAUGAUUUGAAAACUAUAUUCCCUUAUAAAAAUGUAUAGGAAAUUAAUAUAUUGAAGAAAGGCAUAAAAUUAUAGACAAGGAAACAAAAUAAUGUCUCGAAAAUAUUUAAAAAUUUUUGAUUUCUCACACUCAUUCUUUCGGGGCGUCACAGGCUCGAAUACGAGCAGCCGCUCUCCUCGAAUACGAGCUCGACUCGAGCUCAAAAACAUUAAGCUCGUUGGCUCGCGAGCUCAAUUAUAUAUAUAUUUUUUAUUUUUUAUUUUAAUAGUAAAAUUACAUAUAUAUCCCUAAUAUUUUAUUAUUUGUUAAAAAAAUUAUUGUUUUAUUCAUUUUUAAAAAUAAAUAAUUAUUUUUCAUUUUUUAAAAAUAAAAUAAUAAUAAUUAUUUUUUUAUUUUUUAAACUCGAGCUCAAGCUUGAUAUUUUGAGCUCGUCGAGUUCGAGCUCAAGUUCGAGUUUCACAAAAUUAACUCGAGCUCGGCUCGAUUAGCCAAAAAUCGACUGGAGCUCGAUUCGUUUGCACCCCUACCUGUAACAUGGUCUAUGUGAUAUCAAAAAAAAGAAAGAAAGAAAGAAAGGUCUAUGUGAAUAUUUUGCAAAUAAAAGUCACCCUUGGGUGGAAAUUUACAGAAACUCCCCACCGCUCCUCUCGUGCACUACAUUAGAGGCCUCUCAAGUGGAAAUCUGUCCUAUUCAAACCAAUUGGAGUAAUUUCUAUAAUUUCUAGUGUGUUAACACAUUCAACUAAUUUGUCGAUCACACCAUCGAUCACACCAAAACUAUACCAGUUGAUACCAAAUGUGUAGAAUCCAAAAAUUCUAACAAAAAUAUAUGGGAGAUAUAUUUCAUAAAAUCAAUGCAUAUGGAGAGGUAAUUUACAUACAUAAAAAUAUGUAUGCGAGAAGAGAAAUAAUAUCAACAAUAAUUUAUUAAUUACUUCAUAAGAACAAAACUCUCAAUUUUUCUCAAUGCUUCACUCUUCUCAACUAAAUAUAAUAAUAUAACUCCCUAUUUAUAGAUUAGAUGACUUGAUAAAUAAGUUUUAUAACCGUAAGAAAUUUUCUAAUAAGAUACUAAUUUCUAAACAAUAAAACUAACAUAACUUGACUCUAAUAGAAUUACUAAAAUCUUAACUUGACUAAAACUUACUAAAUAACAACAUAAAAUAUUUCUAAUUUUGAUUUUUGAUUUAAUAUGCCAACAUUGCCUCCCUAAAAUCAAGUUCUCUUUUGGAUCAGGUUCACCAUCAUCAUAGAGACAUCAGGUUCACCAUCGUCACAAUCAAUAAUCUCUCUUGAUUUUCGCUGCAAUAUUCCACGUACUUGGACAGAUUUAUCUUGUUGCUCAACUUAUUUUUUUGCGAAAAUAAUUUAUGCUUCUAGAUAGACUGUUUUUGUCACCCAAUUUGAUGUCAAUUUAUUGACAAUUCAUUUUGUGAUUUUCAUAAUCACAAUUCAACUGAUAGGAUUAUUCUCCGAUCUCUGUUGUAACAUCCGCAAUCAAUCAAUCUAACAAUUCUCAAACCAAUCUUAUGGUCCAAUCCUCACAAACUAGACACUCCAUGACCAACCUUGUGGUCUAACUCGAUCAACUAAUUUUUUCGCAAAAUUUUUGUACUCUAAUUCUGACAGCAAAAAAUAGUCACAAUUAACCCUUAUAAUCGGGUUAAUUCUUCAAUGUCUACAGGCACCGCAGCAUCAAUUUCUUGAACCUAGGGCUCUGAUACUAGAUUUAGAAUCCAAAAAAUCAACCCAAAAACUUAUUGGAGAUAUAUUUGAUAAAAUCAAUGUAUAUGGGGGGAGGCAAUUCACACACAUAAAAAUAUGUGUGGGAGAAGAGGAAUAAUAUCAACAAUAAUCUAUUAAUCACAUCAUAAGAACAAAGCUCUCAAUUCUUCUCAAUCUUUCUCAAUCCUUCACUCUUCUCAACUAAACAUAAUAAUAUGACUCCCUCUUUAUAAACUAGAUGAUUUGAUAAACAAGUUUUACAACCAUAAGAAAUUUUCUAAUAAGAUACUAAUUCCUAAAUAAUAAAACUAAUAUAAUUUGACUCCAAUAGAAUUACUAAAAUCCUAACUUAACUAAAAUUUACUAAAUAAUAAUAUAAAAUAUUUCUAAUUUGAGUCUUGAUUUAAUAUGCCAACAAAAUGUAGUAAUAAUUAUGCUAACCGAUUUAAAUUGGAUAGAUUUCAACUUGUGGACCUUGAAUCCUGAUCCCUCAUGCACCCCUCACAUAAAAAUUAAUUGUAGAGAGGAGGAGAAGAAAAAGAAAAAAAAAAGGUUAAAAUGAAUCGGGUAAGGUCGAAAGAUUUACAUUAUUGGCUUUCUGUCAUAUUUGUGGUCCUCCUGUCCUUGGAGGUCCCAGCCUCUUCUUCAUGGGUUUCUGGGUCUUGCUUUUCCCAAGCAUGAGGCCAACAUAGAAAACAAAGCAAAUGUCUUUACGUAGCCAUAAAAAAAGGGCAAAAGCAACCACAUGCCAAAAGGUAUGCUCUUUUUACUGAGUGAUGACAACCAAAAGCCACUUUCUUUCGCCAGGAACUUGCUUAUAAGAGAUUAUUUCUAAACUGUCUUUAUCUGGAUCACCCACUGAUAUCAUAAUAUAUAAAAACAUUAAAGUGCUAAAAUACAGAUGCCAUCAAGAAAGCCAAUUCCUAAUUGGUUAACUAUAAUUAUAUCUGACUAAUGAGAUGUAAUGAUACCUAAACAUGUCUUUGAACAUCAUUGUGCUUCUACAUCGAGGGAUAGUCAGUCGUGUCCAAUUCCAUGAUUAGUGCAACAUGCAAUUGUGAGUGUGUUAGUGCACUAAAGGAAGGCAAGAGGGAAAAUGAGCAGAAAACCAAUAGAACACACAGCUAGCUGUAAGAUAACCAGUUAUGAUUGAAUAAACCAUUUUCCUGAUUUCUUAUUGCAGAACACAGAGUCUUUGUCAAUGUACAUAUAUAUAUGGCAUGGCAUUGUCACGAGGACAUCAUAUUCACUUACUGCACAUCAACAGAAAUCUUGAUGGGUGUAAUUUGAUCAACUGGCACUUACCACACAAGUGCACAACAAGUUAUAAAGCACGAAACCGGUGAGGGGAAAGAAGAGAGCAUGAAGAGUCAUGCCACUACAAAGAAUUGGACCACAACCAUAACCUUUCAAGAGAACCCUACAGUUAUGAUCAACCAAAAGUUCUAGAUGGAGAAAAGAAAAAGAAAAAUUAAGGCCGGUGUGCAUGCAUUUAUGCUUCCUACCUUUGUCUAUUAUCAAUUAAUUACACGUUCAAAAUAUCCAACACAAUAAGCACCUUCAAGAGGGUUGCUUUGAAGAAAAUUAUAAAUAACUAGAACAUUUGGAGGUCGAUCUUCAAAGAAAGAGUAGAGAACAGAAUCCAAUCUAUUAACUGGAGAAAAUAGUAAAUGAGACGAGAAGAACACAUGGGCAGAGCAAAGCUUCAAACAUAACGUACAGACCUGUCACUGUCUGUUAGUAUCUUGAUAUUUUCUUUGCCGCUGUCCAAGAAAGAAUGGUCCAUGUAUCUUGUUAAAUGAACGUCUUCCUACAAUUUGCAAUCAACUACUAGUUGUGUUAAAAAUUGUGGAACCUAGUCUUCAUUGUAGGAACACCAGCACCACACCAGAUUGAUGUGCGAAGCUUGUAAACAAUGAGGCAAUGUAUAGAAGUGGGGAAAGGAGUAAUUGCUGUGAAGAUGCAGAUAGCAAUGAAGUAGCUAGCAUUCUUCAUGUAUUGGUCUUCUAUUUUGCGGAGAAGAAGGUGUAACACUGAGGAACGCCAUUUCUUUCUGCUCUUGUUUGAUAAACUAGGGAAUCAAUAAUCCAGAUAUGAUGUGAAGAAUUAUAUUGAAAUAAGCCUAAUAAGCAUCAGCAAAUCCAAACAUGGGGCAAUGACAUAAAAAGCAUAUGUGACAUUCAUUUUGGUAUUCAAUCAGAAAAACAAAAUUUAUGGACAAGUCCAACCACGUAAAUGGUAAUUGUGGAAUGUUUAGCUUUGGGAAGGGACAUGAAUCAUCACAUAAGAAUUUUCCGCACACAUUUCUUUGACAUGGAAUGAAAGAGGUAUUGCGUACAGAUCUUUGCCUGAUUUCAGCACAGGAUAGAGAUCAAGGUCAUGGAACUUGGAGCAGGCCGAGAUGAUUGGUGGUCCAUUUAACAAGAUUAAAGUCUCAUCUUGAUUGUACACAGAUAACGGGAAAGAAGGGUUGAAGAGCUUUAUUCACAAAUCCAAGGCUCCACAAAUCGAAAGCCCGCAUAAUGGGUGAUGCCGAUCCUUUGCCACCCGUGAUGUUUUCAGAGUAAAACUCUGCCCAUAUCUUGACCGAUGGGUACAACAACUCAACCAGCCAUGUAAGAUUUAAGUCUUCGUACUAGCACUGUGUUCUUCUUCUACUUCAUGGUUAUUAAUUGUAUUUCUUUCCUUUUGAUCACUAAUGUCCAGCGAGCCUCCCUAACAGAAGUUCCCAUAAGGAAACAGAGUGAAAGCGCCCUGGAGAAUUAAAUGAUUGUCGGGUUUAAGUCCAGAAAAAUUAAAGCUCCUGUCUCACCCUUCCUUCAGGGGACCAAACAAUGCUAAAGAUAAGACCCAGGGUGGAACUGGCAAGCAGUAUCAUUCAGUAUAUGAGAAUGAUAAGUCCGGGAAGGUUGCGUGAGGCUAUUACAAUCAGAAGCUAGACAUCGAGAGAAAGAGAAGAAAGAAGUUUCCUUGUCUAAUCUACUUGGACAAGAUCGUGCGUCCUUAUUCUAAUCAAAACCAGGCCUACCUGGAAAAUCAAGCAAAAAGGACCCCGAAACUGAGCAGACACCAUGGCACUAAAAAGAUCAAGUGAUACCCCGGAACUGAAUUAAGAAAACGUGAUCAAAAUUUCCGAACCUGUCGAACUUGAUGCCAGGCAUCAAGAGAAAGUUAAAGCUGAAACUGCAACAAAAACAUAAUCAGCAGCUUAGUUCGAUAUCCCUAUUCCCUUCUGUGGGAGCGUAUACAAAUAAAACCAAAUUCAAUUAAUUCCCUUCCUGUCUCCUUCUCCAUCAGGACCACGUCCUCAAGCAAGUUGGUGCCUUGUAGCUUUUUGUGUUUGAUCAAUUCGACAAUUAUUAGGCCUACAUUUUACUCAAAAGACAAGCAAAAUCGGUGUCUUUUUAUUGAUCCAAAUUGGAAUAUAAUAAGUUCCAUUUUUCUGUUCUCACCAUUUUUUCAGUUGUCUUGACAUGAAAUGUCGAAAAUGCAGCAUACAACCCCCUCGGGCCACCUAGAAGUACAUGCCAAAUGGAGAUCAGCAGACCCAAGAAACUAUGCAGUGGCUAACUGGCUAAUUACCAAGUACAACCAGCAUCUCACAGUAAUUGCUAGGUUAAGAGUAAAUAGCCUAGGUUCAAUGAUUUGAUCAACGAUAUGUAGUUGCCAAGAACUUUCGGCCAGCCAAAACCACCUUUUUUUUUUUUCCUUCCUUCUUGAGAGUGUCGCACUUUCCAUUCUAGAUAUCCCAAUUUUUUUGUCUUAUCGGCCAAAAGACAAAAAUAUGUUUUAUCUUUUUUCUCCCGUUAAUACGAAAUUUGGAAACAAGAUUGGAAAAAUAAUCACCGACAUCAAAACCAAUAGCACUAUAAUUAGCAUGGGGAUUCUCAAAAGCGAUGAUAAAUUUGGAGCGAAGAGUAGUUAUUUUUUGAAAAUUAGCAGCUUUGAGUGGAAUCCCCUUCUCUAAGCGCAAGAGAAAUCAUGAUCUCCAUAAUUAAGGUUGGAUAUCAAAAAUUGCAAACGUGAGCUACUCUAAACUGCAAAUUUUGCCGUUAAUCGCUUAGCUAAUGCCGGAAAAGAGAGCCCGUUUGCCAAUUAAGACAUUUGCACUAGUAUCAUGUUAUAUUAAAGAGUUAAUAAACAGCCCAUCUUGGAUAAAUCCUAGUACAAAGCCUAUGCUAAGCCACAUAAGUACUAAGAAGAAUGUUGAGAGCCCAUCUUAAAUCUAUUAUUUUGGAAUAUUAUUAUUUUCAGUCUUUUUUUUUUAUAGGUGCACUCUAUAAUAAAAAGUUGGAGAACAGAAUAAAGCGUAUUCCUUCCGGAAAUUAGGACAUAGUGGCAAAGGAGAUCAAUAUUUUAACAAGUGAGUAUACAAUAAAAUUGCAUGAUCAGAGGAAUUUGGAUAAUAAAAGUGGUUCUCUCACGAAGUUGUGCGAAAGAUGAUGAUCACGACGCUUAAUUCCUCUUAAGGAAAGGGAUCAUUGAUCAAACCCUCGCCUGCAAGAAAGAAUCAAAUCAUGCGGUGGAUCUAUUUAUUGGACAGAAUGCAGAUUAUUCGCCGGCAGACGGCGGGAAAUUAAUUCAUUGAAUUUUCAGUAUUUUUUUGGUCUCUCUAGAGAGACUCCAGGCCUUGAAACAAAAGCUGAGGGGUUGACAAAUGGGUGGCAAUUGUGUUAUUAAUGCAUUGUUAAGUUUUUGUUUUGUGUCUUUCAUCGGUCUUCCAUUAUGAUUUCGAUUAACUUUUUAUACAUUAAUAUUUACACUAACAGUUACGAUGCAUGUCGAAUGAUUUGAAUUUUAAAUUUGAAUUCAUAUUAUGUACCAAUUACCGAAACCCACUAAGUAAACAACAGUGUAUGAAAAACUUAUCCAAAUAAAAUAACCAUUCUGGGAAAUAGCAAAGUGAAUACAGUACAAAUGAAUAUGAUUUGUGGAUUCUUAUUUCUGGAGCAGUCCAAGUACAGAAUUCAAGCACGGUGUAUUUCUCCACCAUUAGUUGUGCGAAUCUUUCAAAUAUCCGGAUCACCAUGGCGGCAUUGGGUUGUUGCACGUAUUCUGAAUUUGGGUCAUCGUUGAAUUGUUUGGCGGAUCAUUUGUUGCACCUAUUCUGGAUAUGGAUAUGUGUGAAGUAGUCGAUAAAUGCAAUUUUUGAAUCGAAAAGAAUCACUCUUUGCAAAGCUGGAAUUAAACAUAAGUCGACAAACCUGGAUUUGGGUCAUUGAUCUGUCCGCCAAAUCAGAGCCACACGUAAGUCGGCAAAACUGGCAGAUACGAAAUUUGGACAAUGAAGAGGAUUGACAUUGAUUGAUUAAGUCCUGUGGCGGACUAUAUAUACUGAACAUCUCAACAGAAUGAAUCGUCCCCCCUGAUCAUUGAUAUACAGAACUCAAAAGAUGGAGAAGCUACAACUUAGCUUGAAACUCCUGUUUUUGGUAGUUUCUCUUCUGUGCCAUGAUGGUAAAGCUUCUAUAUCAUCAAUUGGUGGGCUCAAAAUGGAGGAAUUGUUGCAAGAAAAGCCCUCUCAGAACUUCACUUCCACGAAAUUUGGAUCAGAUACGUCUUUCAGCCUUUCAUCAGCGUAUCUUUGCUCCCAAAGUGGGCGCAAAGAAAAUGACAAGAUUCAAAGGCUGCCUGGACAGCCUGACGGAGUAGACUUCAACCAAUAUUCAGGAUAUGUUACUGUUGAUCCCAAUUCAGGACGAGCUUUGUUUUACUAUUUUGUCGAAUCACCGAGAAACUCUUCAUCUAAUCCACUUGUCCUGUGGCUCAAUGGAGGUACUGUUGCUAAAUGUUGCCAGUUUAACUUUGUUUCUUACGAAAUUUAGUUUAUCAAGUGCUAGGCAUUCCAAGCUCUUUGCAGGUCCCGGUUGUUCUUCUCUUGGAGCCGGAGCAUUGACGGAACUUGGGCCAUUUAGAGUUGAAAAAGGUGGCAAGACUCUCUACAGAAAUCAAUAUGCGUGGAAUGCAGGUCAUUGGAUUCUAGAUUAUUUUCAGUCUUCCCUCCAUGUAUAAUAUGAUAAUACACAUAACAGAGAUGAAGAAUCUAACCAAAGUUGGACUUUAAUUCUUUCUCAGAGGCCAAUAUCAUAUUCUUGGAGUCUCCAGCUGGUGUUGGAUUUUCAUAUACAAAUACAACAUCAGAUUAUGAUUUCACUGGGGACGAAAGAACUGCAGUGGAUACGUAUACGUUUCUAGUCAAUUGGCUUGAGAGGUUCCCCGAGUACAAGACUAGGGACUUUUUUAUUGCAGGAGAAAGCUAUGCUGGCCAUUAUGUACCUCAGCUAGCUCAAGUGAUACUACACGCAAACACUAAUACGAACCAUACUAAAAUCAAUCUAAAAGGAAUCGCUGUAAGUGAUAAAGUUAAAAUUGACAUGCCUGUUAGUUUUUGUUUUUUAUUUUUUCAGCAGAGAUGGGUGAGAUUUAAGAAGUAAGAAGGACACAGGAGAUUAGAAUCCAAAAUCACUAAAUUCUGGAGUUUCAAUCUUAACCGUUAGACUAAUGCUUCACUGGCACAUGCCUAUUAGUUGCAAGGAUUGAAGUUGCAUACUAAAAUUUAAUAUGGACAAAUCAUAAUUGCAGGUUGGCAAUGGGUUGAUUGACUACGAAUCCUACAGUAGGGGAUGGUUAGACUAUUAUUGGACUCAUGCCCUUAUAUCAGACGAAAUAUAUAUUGGACAUAAAUCCAACUGCAAUUUCUCGUCUCCUGCUCCUCCAUCUGAUAUAUGUCGCCAAUAUCAAGACCAAGUCAUAAAUGCCACUAAGGACAUAUACCCUUACGACAUUUUUGCGCCCUUGUGCAAUUCCACCUCUUCAUCCACUCUGGCAAGUAUUUAUCAAUUCUUUAUCUUUUCUAAAUGUGCAAACGUUGUUGAUCAAAUCUAUGGUUUCUUAUUUCCCUUUUAUUUUUUUUCCUGAUAAUUGGCCUUGAAAUAUUGACAGAUCUCAGUCUUUGAUCCCUGCUCGCUGGAUUAUGCUUUCGACUACUUAAACAACCCCGCAGUUCAGAUUGCUCUUCAUGUGGAUGCUGCCACUUUUCCUUAUCCCUGGGAACUGUGCAAGUAUAUCACUGUUACUCUUGAAGAAGAAAUGGUCAUAAAUUGUGCUUUUAAGUUUUAAAGGUUUGAGCCACCAAGUAUAUUCACCAAUGUUCUUCUUUUUUGGGCUGUGGAAAUAGUCUUACCAUGAAUGGUAGCUGGAAAGACCGACGUUUGCCUAUACUACCAAUUAUCACUGAGUUGAUGGAAUCCGGAAUUCCAGUUUGGAUUUACAGGUAAGUCGUUAGAGAUAAACAAUGGCCAAUCUUUAGACUGAAUUUUGUCAAAUAAACUCUGAAAAUUGAAAAUAAAGAGUCCUGUCAACGAAACGAAAACCAAAUUCUCCUACAAUUCAACAUCUUCAAAUAUUGUAUAAUUUAACAGGAUUUAAGCAUUAAAUAAGACUGAAUCUGAAUAAAGAAAUUGUCAGAAGUGAACUUAACAAAGUCAGAUGAUUAAUUUGCAGUGGUGACACGGAUGGUGCAGUGCCAGUAACGUCCUCAAGGUAUGCCAUCAAUAAACUUGGGAUAUCUGUGAAAACUCCCUGGUAUCCUUGGUACCUCCAGAAUGAGGUAAGUGUCAUAUAUUUCUUUUUUGAUCGGCUUAUUUGUUGUAUAACGUAUUAUUUUAGAAUGAGAGCCUUAAACACUUGAACAUUACACGCAAACAAUAUCUCUGGAGUUUGUUAGUCCAAUGAAGUGGCAAAAAUGAACUUCUACAAGUAAAACUUGUUUCAAGAACUUACUUUGUCUAAUUAUUCAAGCAUGUGUUAAACAAAAAAGCAAGCUCUUCAUUAUAAUGGAUUGUAGUAAGAUGAAUUAUCUAGAGCUUCCUUUAUAUUUUGUGUGGAAUAGAAGACUUAGUGGUAUAAAAAUUUUUGAGAAGUUUUAUCUAUUAAAUUAUGCUUAACAUUUCGCAUAAUACUUGCCCAUCAAGAAUUAUGGACUUGUCUGAGAUAUCAAUGCUGGGUUUGCAGGUUGGCGGAUAUGUGGUUGAGUAUGAAAACUUGAUGUUCGUUACCAUAAGAGGAUCUGGACAUUUUGUUCCUAGUUACCAGCCAGCAAGAGCCCUUGCACUCUUCUCUUCAUUCAUAAACCAAAAACUUCUCCCAUCCAAAUAGACUAAAAAAAGGGGAUGCUUUAGGAUGACCGAAAGAAAAUGCGGAUAACACAUAUUCUUGGCAUAUAUGUCAAACUACUCGUCUCGCCUUCUUGUUCAUUAGCCAAAAAAAUUAGUAUGAGACCUGACAAAUUAAAUUUUGUUCGACUGUCUUGUUAGUUGAAUGCAAAAUCUGUCAUCCAAAUUACUAUUUCGUGUUUAAAUGAAAAGAGCACAUGUCUCGACACCAUCUUAAGAUGAUAAUUCUAAGUACAGUAUUCAUGUGUUUUGCAUUUUCAAAUGAAAAAAUCGUCCAAAACAUCCCUUGCAUUUUGUUAAAUGAAUUUCUUGGUCAUUUACUUUUAAAAUAUUAAUUUUAUGUCCCUUAUAAAUUCAAAUUUAAGUUAGUAAAUUUUGGUCCCAAUUUAACUACUUUUGAAUCUUAAAUUACCAAGUGACUCACAUGCAAUCAUUUUUUAUAUACAUCAAGUCAAAUUCCAUAUCUUUAGUGGCAAAAAUGAAUAUAAAUUGGGUCAUAUUCCAAUUUUUUAGGGAAAGAAUGCACAUAAUUUGGGUCAGAUUAUACCUUUUUAGAAACAAAUAAAAUGAAUAUAGAUUGGAUCAUUUGUAUAACUACAAAUAGGAUCUAACUUUUUUUAUCGAAAUGGUCGAAAACAUAAGUUGGGACUAAAAAUUAUCGACUGGAAUUCGUAAUAGAUAUAAAAUUAGCAUUUUAAAAGUGAAUGACAAAAAAAUUCAUUUGACGAAAUGUGAAUGAUGUUUUGAACGAUUUUUUUUUUUUUUCAAAUAUAUUGCAAUAAGAUCUAACCAACUAAAACAACUUUAGAUACAAAAAAACGAGUAUUUGUGGUGAUUAUGGGGCAAUUGCAUGAAUUUUCAAGAAAUAAGUUGAUUAUAAUGGUAAUAGUUUUACAACAAAGGAGUUCUUUAAGUGUGAAAUUGAGAAAUGGGGUGGAAUGGGUUAAGUGGUUCGAGAGGAGAAUAUGUAAGUGAGAGGCAUUUGAUUCGAGUCCUCCCAUUCACAAUAAAAAAGUGUCUGAAGUUGAAAAUGAGAAAAUUAAAAAGGAAAGAAAAAGAAAGGAAUAUGCUCAAUAGGAAAAGCUGUGGAAGUGAUCAUGUGGAAUAAAUACACAUUUUGUGUGUUUUAAUCUCCAUUAGUACACAUUUUAUUGGACAAAAUUGAGUUAUCACAACCAGGGAUGUAAUCGAGUCAAGUCAAACUCGAGUAUUGCUAUACUCGAACUCGACUCGACUCAUAUAUACCUAGGCUCGAGCUCGACUCGACCUCGACCGAAUACAAAAAAUCGAUACUCGAAACUUGACUCGAGGAACUCGCUUUAAACUCGAGACUCGACUCGAUAAGGCUCGACCUUUAGUCAAGCCUUAUCAAGUCGAGGCUAAUCAAGCUUUUUGACACACUUUCGUCUUUUCUUCCCUUUUUUAGACAUUUUUUCUUUUUAGGUCUUUUUACAAUUAUGUUAUUACUUUUUUGCCAUUAUGAAAUUUUAUUAUAAAGAGUAGUUUAUUGUAAAUUCCGUAAAACUUAUACCCAUAAUGGUCAUUUUAUAAUUAUAAUACAUAUAUAUUAUUUAAAUACCCCCGACUCGACGAGUAGCUCGACAAGUCUUGAACCUCAAAAUAUUAGCUCGAAACUCGACUCGAAUGACAAUCGAGUAGCUCGAGACUUGGCUCGAACUUGGUCAACCCAAGUUCAAGCCAAGCCGUUGACCGAGCUACUCGCGAGCUACUCGAUUAUGACUCGGCUCGCGUACAUCCCUAAUCACAACUUGUAAAAACUUUGUUCAUAGUUUUCCACUUGUGUAUGCAUGGUUUCUUAUCCUGGCCAACGAUCCUUGAGGUCACAAAAGAAUCGAAAACCUCCGACACGUUAGAGACCUUUGGUAUGCAUAAAACGAUCAUAAUCCCUUGUCCUGUUGUCAUUACUCCGAAUCAAAUCAAACUAAAAAAUCGUACACUAGACAAGUAUAGACUCCAUAAGUUACAAGCACAGCAGAAUUGCAUGCACAUUCUAUAAAAUUGUAUUUUCUCGACGUGUUUUUUCCUAAAUUGAAAUUGUUAAAAACACCUAAUGAAGAUCCAGAUGGAGACCGCGAGUACGUACCUGUAGAAAGCAACAAGCGAGUGCAUGCUCAAAAAUUUUGGUUUACCUUGGCAAAUUAACAAACAUGUUGGUGAAAUUUUUAAUGGAUGGACUUUCAGCUUGAACAAAUUCUGAAGGGGGAAAGGAAAAAAAAAAAACAUAUACUCCAUAUAAGAAUAUCAUGACGAAUAUCAAAUUGCAGUCCUUCCAUGCACUAUAAAUCAGAGCAUUUCGAAAAUGAACUUCCAAAGUCCCCACAGGAUUCAUCUUCCAAAAUCCUAACUUCUCAUGUGGUUUAAUGGAGAUAAUACGCAUGUCUUGGUGAUAUAAAGUUUUUCAUUUCUCUUUGGUCUUUGACCAUGUAAAACCUUUUUUCACUUGAUCAUGAUUUAUUCAAAUCUCAUUUUAUUUUAUAAUAAGGAAAAAUUGCAAUUUUGAUCCCCAAUAUUUGGCCUAUGUGCCGAAUUGAUAUCUAAUAUUUUGAUCAAAACAAAUUUAGCCCCCAAAGUUUGUGAUUUUAGGCAAAUUUAGGAUAACUAACAGAAAUGGAAUAAUGACUAACGGUCAACAUCAAAUUAUCAUUAGUAAAUAACUUUGACUUUGUACCAAUCUUUUGAUUUUGAAUAUUAAGUAUUUUAGCCUGAAUUAAGAGACGUUUGAGCAAAACUAUAUUCACUACAAUUCUUGCUUUUUUGGACUGUGGAAAAUUGUCUUAUCGUGAAUCAUAGAUGGAAAGACAGAGUGUUGCUUGAAAGGCCAAUUAUCACUGAGUUGAUGGAAUCUAGAAUUCAAGUUUGGAUUUACAAUUAUGUCAGGCAUUACAAAUGUACAAUGGCCAAAUCUUUAGAUCAAAAAUUUGCAAUCAAUCUGUGAACAUUGGAAAGAAUGAGUCCUAACAACAAAAGGAAAAUCAAUUUACUCCUGCAAUUCAACUCUUUCGGGUACAGCUUUUUUCCCCUCCUUCCACCCGCUCUUUACCUAACGUUUUCCACCAAGUCGUAAAAUAUUGUGGGAACACCAAUUUCAAGCUUACAAUAUGGUUUUUACAACUUAUUUUGAUUUUUUUGCAUAUCAAGAAAUAGGACAUUUCACCUAGCUGAGACCUAAAAUUAUUACUGAGAAUCCUACCACUACAAAAGAUAUGAAGACAAUUUUGAAAAUAAAAACCCUAAAUGCAUUUUAAAAAGUAAUUUGUUUCUGUUUGUCAUUUUCAUCUUGUCUAUUGUUUUAUGAGCAAAUUACUCAGCUGCCUACUAAACUUUUGUAAUAGAAUGGUUUUGUUCAUUCAAUUUUUAAAAGUAUGAAAUUAUCCACUCAACUCUCAAACGUAUAUAAUUUAGGUCAUUUCGUCUGUUUUCAUCAUCAGGUCUGCCUCUCGGUGAUGUCUCAUGAUUCAUACAAAUCCUUAGAUGUGGUAGAAUUAACGGUGAAAAUACAUAGAAUUGCCUAAAGUAUACACGUCUCGGAGUUGUGUGAAUAACUUCAUACUUAUAAAGAUUGAGUGGCUACAAUUAUACCAUUCAAAAAUUUAGUGGGUAAUCAGGUAAUUAACUUGCUUUUGUUUUAUUGUUCUGGCAAAACAAUACUUGAAGUCACAAAAGAUACAGAAUCUCCAAGACGAAACAGAUCCUUUGGGAUGCCUACGAAUUUGCAAAUUCCUUGUCAUGUAGUCAGUAUUCCGAAUCAACCAAACUGAAACGUGCAAAUAGACAAAAGCAUCCGUUGCGAAUAAAAAACAUUUGCAUGCACAUUUAAGGAAUUGUAAUAUCUGGCCGUGUUUGCUUAAAUUGUAUUAGUUGCUUAAAACACCUAAUCGAGACUGUGCGCCGGAGUAUUUGAAGAUAAGUUACUACACCUUCCACCAUAUUUCUUUUUUUUUUUUUUCCAUGUCCCAAUAUAAGACUCACCAUUUUAAAAUUCAUACAGAAUAUUAGUUGCUUUUUAAUUUUAUCAUUUCAAAAAUCAACCUUUUCAAAUUUGGAUGCACAUUUAAUCACCAACUGAAUGGUUUUUAUAAAAAUGCUAUAGAUGUAAUUUCAUUCAAUGCACACAUCCAGACAUCAACGAUUAAAUGUCCCCUUAAAAUGAUGAAUUUCCAAAAAAAAAAAAAGUAUAAUAUUGAGACGGAAGGAAUCCUUUGUUGAAUAUAUAUAUCAAGGAAAGCAGUAACAAGUUAAGAUUAUAGUGCAUGCAUGCUGACGUGCUCUACAGAUGUGGUUUAACCGGGCAAAGCUAACAUGUCAGCCAAAAAGAUAAUUGACGGACUUUUGGUUUGAACAAACUCUGACGGCCUAAAAAGAAACAAACGAGUUUAUAAGCAUAUCUUGGUGAAUAGAUGAAGCAAAAUGGCAUCAAAUUGCCGACCUUCAAAGGACUAUAAAUCAGAUCAUUUCAAAAGUAGGCUUCAGUGCACUUUCAAUUCCUCGGUUACAGGAGAGUAGUAGCUUAGGGUCAUAAUGGCCAAUAUCCUACUAAUCUUGUCAAUCCUAUUCGUGGUGAUAUCCCGUCAGUGUUACGGGAGUCAAGGUUUUCAACCAUUUUCUAAAUUCCUGACAGAGAAAUCGUUCAAAAGUGCGUUUCACGCUGAUUCUUUUAAGGGAGAAUUGCACCAGUUGUCCCUCACAUAUCUCUGAUGUGAAAAUUUAGUCCCUUAGAACGAAAAUGAUUAGUUUUAGUCCCUAACAAACAAAAAAUGAUCACAUUUAAUCCAUUUUCACUUUUCCGAGUAGAUUUUGACCGGAACUUACUGAGCCCACAUGACGUGUCCAAUUUUUAAAGGGUAAAAAUGAAAAAUCAACUUGAUCUGAAAUUUGAGGGACUAAUGGUGCACAUCUUUAGUUAAAUAUUCAUCAAAAUACACAAAAACUAUUCCACCAUUACUUGAAAGUCUCUAAUUCAUCUCAACCCAAAAUGAACCAUAAUUGCAAGCUCCUCUUAGUUGAUUGAAAAUCUUUCAAAGGAAAUUCGUGAUUAAAGACAAGAAAAUAACAAGCAAAUGUGCUAUAAAAGAUGAAUGCAAAAAGAAAAAUGAAAAAUGAAAAUGUGCUUCCUCGCCCAAAACAUUCUAGCAAGUCUGUCUGGAGUUCCUGGUCAAAAUCAAGAUGGAAAAAAUCCCACAGGCCUAAAGUUGAGAGCAAACUUUGGUGGAUUGCAGUAUCUAAAGACUGCACUUUUUUGGGUGAAAAUGGGAUGGGGUUGAAAUGCUUUGUCAAAGUUUCCAUCUUUUUCUUGUUACAGUGACACGCCAUUGGACUCUUUCCCUUCUUUCGUGAAGAAACUAUGCCGCUUUCAAGCUAGGAUUGUUGAACAGGACAAUGGUGAGAUGAGAAAAAGUUUUAGGAGAUGAAGGCAUGGAUUGUAUGGGAUGUGUCUUUGAGAAACUCUUUCGAUCAAAGGCAGUGAGAUUUUGUGACAGAAGUGUGAUGUCUAAAGUCUAAACAAGGCUUUUGAUGGGGCUCAAGAUUCUGCUCAUGGUCGUUGAUGAUUGGGGCAAAGAAGAAACUAGCUUUUUAUGAUUUUUAAGGACUUCUCUUUGGUGUUUGAGUUUCUUGGGUUUUCGGAGACUUCGGCUCUUAAGAGGCAAAUGCAGAGCUUUCCCCAGUGCUCCACGGCUUCAGACAUUUCAUUUAGGCAUUUUACAAACACUUGCAAUGCUGACCGACAAUGGUGCUGUCAUGAUCUACAACAAGUGCAAUUACUGAAGCCAAGAAGAACCCAUUCUCCAUCAAAGUCAGGAUGCAUCAAAAGCUGGAAGGUGGAGAAAUUGUGGAAGUUGCAUCCGUCGAUCACGCCAAGGUCACCAAGUCUGUCUGCGUUUGUUGCAUCAUUAUCUCUGAACCCAACAUAUUUGGCAUUUCAAUCAGCAAUUUCCUUCAGAUGAAUUUCAAUCAGCUGCUGCGAGUUUGCAAUUAGGGUUGUUUUGGUUUGAGAUGAAUUGUUAGUAAUGGUGGGUUAGUUAUAUAAUUUUUAAUGAAUGUUUAAUUAAAGCUCUGCACUAUUAGUCUCCUCACAUUUUCUAGUUAGGUGGUUUGCCAUUUUUACCCUUUAAAAAUUAUGCACAUCAUGUGGGUCCAGUAAGUUCCGGUCAAAAUCUACUCAGAAAAGUAAAAAUGGACCAAAAGUGAUCAUUUUUUGUUUGUCAGGUACUAAAACUAAUCAUUUUCGUUCUAAGGGACUAAAUUUUCACAUCAGCGAUAUGUGAGGGACGAUUGGUCUCAUUCUCCCUUCUUUUAAUGCAUUGAGUCUAAGAUCUGAAUCUGAUGCAUCUGCCAAGGCUUUUGCUGUGCAUGUUAGCCCCCAAGAUGGACUCAAAGAGAGAGACAAAAUUGACAGAUUACCCGGGCAACCUGAUGGAGUAGACUUCAACCAGUUUUCAGGCUAUGUUAAAGUAGACUCUGGAAGAACUUUGUAUUAUUAUUUCGUUGAAUCCCCACAGGAUUCAUCUUCCAAACCCCUUCUCAUGUGGUUUGCCGGAGGUAAUGUCCCUUGACAUGGUCUGUUACUUCGCUUUUGGUCUUCAACGUUACAUAACCAAUGUUGAUCACUUGUUCAUUUGUUCAGAAUUCGUUUGUUUAAAAUUCCAUUAUCAACUUUAAUUAUUUACAUGUUGUUCUUGAACAUGCAGUGCCUGGUUGUUCUUCCUUUGGUGUUGGAGCAUGGACGGAAAUUGGGCCAUUUAGGGUCAACAAAGAUGGCAAAACUCUGUACCGUAACCCAUAUGCCUGGAAUAGUGGUAAGUGCUAAUUCGAACGUAGUCGCAUGAUAUGAACCUUUCAUAUGUAGGUUAGUUACUGCAGAAUAGUGACCAAAAGUUUGCAUUUGAAUACUCGUCCCAGAGGCCAAUCUCAUCUUUGUUGAGGCACCAGCUGGUGUUGGAUUUUCAUACUCAAACACGAGUGCAUAUUAUGAACGUAUUGGCGACACCCUCACUGCAUACGAUACAUAUACCUUCUUAGUCAACUGGCUCGAGAGGUUUCCAGAACACAAGAAUAGAGACCUUUUUCUUGCAGGAGAAAGGUAUGCAGGCCAUUAUGCUACGCAACUUGCUCAGCUGAUACUCCGUCAAAAUAACUACUCAAAUCAGAUUACUGCGAUCAACUUAAAGGGAAUUGCAGUAAGGAGUGAUUUGACAAGUUUGUCAAUUUUAGUGUACUAUAAUAAAACUAGAUAUCAAUCUUACUCUUUUUUUUUUUCAAAUGAUAACUCAUGUUUCAGCUCGGAAAUUCGUACAUUGACUAUGAAUCAAGUUUCUACGGAUCAUUAGACUAUGCGUGGACACAUGCCCUCAUAUCAGAUGAGAUAUAUAACGGAGUGAAUUCCAAUUGCAAUUUAUCUUUAGUCAUUCAAUCUGAUAACUGCUCUGAAUAUCUGAACCUAAGUAACAAUGUCACUGAAGGCAUCAAUCCUUAUGAUAUCUAUGCAUCCUUGUGCAAUUCUACACCUGGAGCGGCUCCGGUACGUACGUAUAAAGUGAUACAUUCUCUUCGAUCAGUCUCUUUUCGAGUGUGCCAAAAACUAAUCUAAUUUUCUUUUUUAAUCACUGGCUAAUUAAAUGAUGACAGUAUUCAUAUGUUGGCCCGUGCUCCACCGACUAUGUCUCGGAUUACAUGGAAAAUCCUGAAGUUCAGAUUGCUCUUCAUGCAAAUAUUUCCACCGUUCCUUAUCCGUGGAAAAUUUGCAAGUAAUGCUACUAUUUGUACUAAUUGGUAUAAUAUAUUAGAUUGCUAAAUUUAGUACUUCAAACUUGGAGCAAGAUUUUCCAAGUAUUUGACUAGCAUUAAAUUGUCCCUUGGAUCGUAUGUUGUCCUCUGGUAUGUCUCGGAAAUUAGUGAUUUGAAGAAUUGGACCGAUGCUCCUAGGACAGUGUUGCCAAUCAUCACUGAGUUGAUGCAAAGUGGAAUUCAAGUUUGAAUUUACAGGCAAGUCAUUCCAGACCAAAUAUGCUUUUGAUCAGUACUGACAUUUGAUGGACGGAUUACUCCUGACACAACAACAGCAAAAGCAUAACAAAAUAGUAGUAUUCCUUACCUUUUGCAAAUUUAAUACCUGAUUAAGAGUUUUCAAAUGAUGUACAGCGGGGACACUGAUAGUGCUAUUCCUGUAACAUCUGCCAAAUAUGCUGUUAGUAAGCUGAAGUUAUCGGUGAAAACUACAUGGUACCCAUGGUACCUUCAAAAUGAGGUAAUUCUUCUAAUCGCGUUUGCAUUUCUUAUAGCAUCUGCUACAUUUCCUCUUAAAACAAGCGGAUAUAUACAUACAUAUGGUUGCUUGGGCAGGUCGGAGGCUACGUUGUUGAAUACCAGAACUUGACAUUCGUUACCGUCAGAGGGGCCGGACUUUUUGUUCCCGACCAUCAACCAGCGAGAGCCCUCGCUCUCUUCACUUCAUUCAUCAAUGCACAGUUGCCCCCUUCCACCUGGACUUUUAUUCGGGAUGAUGCUUCCGCCACUGUACAAGAAAGAAACUCAUGCGAGCUGUCGCUUUGAAUCAAUGUCAUCUUUUAGUUUUUAUUCUUUCUUUAUUUUCCUUUUCGACUAAAAGUCAAUAUCAAGUCUGCUUUUUAAAUCUCUCCCUAGCUAGUGUUGUUACAAAUUAUAUCUCUUGCCGUGUGCAUUUCUUUACGUUGUCUCUUUUUAUUUUCUUUUUGAACUAUUGUGAAUCUUAAUUAUCCACAUAUAUACUUGCAAAGAGUCAUUUCCUCGCUUGCAAAGAGUCAUUUCCUAAGUUCUAUUUGGGAGUUUAAUAACUGCAUGCAUAAUUUUACCGAUCACAGGUCUCACAAGUUCUGGUUCAAAUCAAUUGAGGGCAGAAAGAUGAUUCAAAAUGAGUUAAAAUUAUGAAAAUUUUGCAAUGAUUAAUCAGGCAACAAAGCUUGGUCAAUUUCAUAUGAAAUUUUAUAUAAAACUAACACAAGUAAUAAAAUAUAUUAUGAACUAUGUUGAUUUUUGAAAUAAUUUUUAAGUUAAUUUUAUUGGAGUGUAAUGGAGAGAAGCUCUCUCCAACGCAGCGAAGAGGAGCCUAGUCCCACUACUAUAUACUGCAAAGGCUAUCAAACAUCCGACACGAGAGCAUUACACAAGUACGCUCUAAUUGUCUGUGAAACUCAGAUUCAAGUAGUACGUAAUUUGCUUCAAGAAAGAGUCUGGUUGUCCAUUUGUGAAAACUAUAAUGUUAAAACGGCUAAAUGAUGAAAGCUAUGGUCCCCAAAUUUCCUAUUUUAGUAUGCUAGCUUAAUCAGAUGAGGUAAAUUUUGUGCCAUGUAACUGAGUUGAUUAGCAACUGAUCUUUGCACUCGGCUAUACAAGAGAUCUUGUGGAGUUUAACGGAGAGAAGAACAAAAAUAUCACAAUCGGGUUUCCUAACAUGAUGACAGUCCCACUAAAUCAGCCAACCGGCUGAGGAAGCGAGCCGACAGGAAGAAUAACCAUAUAUAACCCACCUACAAUCACUAAAAGGAUAAUCCUGAAUCAGGACGUGAUUUACAUUUCAAAUAAAUUUUCUGGAUUAAUAUCUGUAGGCGAGUGCUGCAAAUUGCGACAGCAGGUUUAUGUCUGUAUAGCUUUCUGGGUAAACUUACCGGGGAGAAUCAGAUAUUCUCCAAGUAAUUAUUCAAAUUCUAUGGAAGUAAUCACCUAUAGGAUGUGUUUGAUCCAUGCCAAUGAAGUUAGGUCGUAAAUAAGGUUGGAAGUUGCCUUGACCAGAGUCGCAAAAACUGAUAGAAACUGGUCACCCUGCACUUGAAAGCACUUGUAGCUAGACAUGCUAUUGAAUUUCAAGAACAUGCAGCUGCCAACACUAGUAUUGUUAACUAUAAUUUUCCUAUCUUGGCAGCAAUAUGCCUUUCUCAUGAUCAAAGGUGGAGCCAUUCAGGCUGAUAACCUUAACGAACUCAUUAAGACUCGACAUUCAGAAAAUCCUCCAAAAUUCGGAGCCAUGGCUUUAUCUAGAUCUUGCAGUUAAAACUAUGGCCCCAGUGUACAUUAGCCCUCAAGAUGGAUUGAUGGAAGCUGAUAAUAUUGAUUCAUUGCCAGGGCAGCCUGCAGAAGUUGAUUUAAACCAAUAUUCAAGUUACGUAACAGUGAAUCGGGAGGGCAGAAGAGCUUUAUUUUUUUAUUUUGUGGAAUCACCUGAAGAUUCUUGAUCCAAGCCUCUAGUCUUGUGGCUCAAUGGAGGUAAGCGGAUUUUUAAACUACUUCUACCAUUUGGAUCUUCUUUCUGAUAUUCAGUUUUUUCAUUACUGUCCCUUAUUCUUAUUCCUCCCCCCACAACCCCCUUCUUUCCUUUUAAUGUAACUACCAGCCCGUUAUUAAUCACAAAAAGAAAAUGAGGCGUUGUACAAGAGAUGAAAAUGCUAUUCAAACCAAUUACAGAGAUAUCUUAUGAGCCUUAAAUGUCGGACAGGAAUAUAAAGCAUAUAGUAGAGGCCAAUAAUCCGCAAUGGACCACCCCGUUCAUCUAAGACUACCUCCCAAGUAACUUAGGCCCCUGAGGCCCAAGAUACCGAAACAGAUAUAGUUUAUUAUCUGUCCUCUCAUUGAUGCAGAGCUUACCACAAAUAUUGACAGCAUGAUAUGGCAAUGAUCAGGGCCAGGAUGUUGCUCCCUGGGAAUUGGAGCCAUGCAAGAGCUUGGACCUUUCAGAGUCAAGAGUGAUCGCAAGACCCUCUUAUCGAAAUGACUACAGCCGAAGAGUCCCCAGCUGGUGUUGGCUUCUCAUAUUCUAAUAAAUCCCUUGUGCCGGGUGACAAAAUCACAGCUUCAGAUUCUUAUGCAUUUCUUGUAAACUGGUUUGAGAGAUUCCCACAAUACAAGAACCACGAGUUCUACAUAACUAGGGAGAGCUACGAUGGCCAUUAUGGCCCUCAGCUUGCCCACACUAUCCUUGCGAUGAAUAGAAAAUCCCCUAAAACUUUCAUUAAUCUCAAAGGCAUUGCAGCAAGUCAAUACUGCAUUUUGCAUUUUUGUUCCAUUACUCAGUUUUUUCCAUGCAAACCCGCAGACGAGCAGUCAGUUCAUUCCAUCUACGAUGACAAAGGGGAGGUACGACUACUUAUGGACCCAUGCUUUGAGCUCGGACGAAAUCCGCAUGCAAAAAUUGACAAUCGAACUGGGAAUUAUUCACCCGCAUGCAAAGCAUACAUGGAACAAGCAAGGGUAGAACGCGGGGAGAUCGGUUUAUUUAACAUUGCUGCUCCAAUUUGCAGGUCUUCAGAGCCAAGCAAACCCUCCGAUUCAGUAAGUGUGCACUGUGCAUUAUUAAGCAUUGUACCAUGCAUGCGUUUAUCAACAAAACACUAUCAUGAUUUGUAAUCACAUCAAAUUAUUUGAGAGAAAUAAUGAAGAAUCCGGAAUCCGUAGAAUCUAAAAAUUAUUAUAAUUUAUUUUUCACUCUCUCUCAAAUUUGAAGCAUUUGCCCGAAAUUUGCACUCAGAAGUCAGAAUCGAAUCCAUUUGGUGGAAACUCUGCACGUUACUUGGCAUUUUGAACAUCGUAUACUCGUAAAUGUUAUCCAAAUAUAAACAGUGCCGUUGUUGUCUUAUCCUUAUUAGAUUGAAGAGUGGACGAAUGCUCUAAGAAUUAUAUAGGGGCAUACCUGAACCGAGUAGAAGUGCAACAAGCUCUUCAUGCGCGUCCAACCAGCUGGGAUUUUUUGCGGGUAUAUUUGAUAUUUCUCCCGUCACUCGAUUCAAUCCUCAAAUGGACAAAACAUUUUAAAGACAUUGGCAAAGCAAGAGCCUGACAUCUGUUACAAAUGUUAAUAUAUAUGGCAGCGGACCGUAUAAUUGGAGCGACAGUCCAGAUACCAUUCUUCCCUUAAUCGAGCAGCUACAAUCGCAAAUGGCAUCAGAACCUGCUAAUUGUUACAAAUUUGCGUGCUCGAGUGCCAUACAAUAGAUUUAAUUGAAAAUUCACAUUCACUUCUCACCAAGCUCAACGCACAAUACUAUUUCGGAAAAGCACAAAAGCAACUGAAAAUAAACCUGCUCAAAUUGCAUCAUCCAACAAAAAUAAUAAAAUAAAAUAAAAUAGAAGCAACCUCUUACUUCAUUAACUUCUGUUGAAUAGCAUGUUUUGUGAAACUGCUAACAGAUUGCAGGAGUUAGUUGUUCACGUUGCUAUUUUUAGGCAAUAGAUAAGUCAAAGUAUUUGAUAUGAUUUUGAUUCUAGAAUCUUAUCUCUAGCAGAUUUUUUUCCAGAUUUUCUCUAAUUCUGUUUUGUUUAUGUUAUAUAAAAGCAUGGCUUAUGACUCAAUAAACAUCAGACUUCUGCAAUACAAAAGUAUUCACUCUUGCUCUACCUUUUUCUGCUCUAAUACCCAACAAAGUGGUACCAGAGCUCUCAUCUUGAGGGAUCUGUGAGGAUUGAGAGAGUUUAAACACUUACCCUUAUUACGAUGAAUCCAGAAUUUUCCUCUACUUAUCAACUUGGACCUCCCAUAUUUGAUGGAACAAAUUAUCAAAUGUGGGCUGUCAGAAUGGAAGCGUAUCUUGGUGGAAAUGAUUUGUGGGAGGCUGUAGAGGAUGAUUAUGAAGUACUUCCUCUUCCAAACAAUUCAACAGUUGCUCAAAUGAAACACCAUAAUGAGAGGAGACAAAGGAAAUCGAAAGCCAGAGCAAGUCUAUAUGCAGCUGUCACAUCCACAAUCUUUACCAGAAUCAUGACGUUGAAAACGGCACAUGAGAUCUGGAAUUUCUUGAAGAAAGAAUAUGAAGGAGAUGAAAAAAUCAAAGGGAUGCGAGUGUUGAACUUGAUUCGAGAAUUUGAGAUGCAGAAGAUGAAAGAUUCAGAAACUAUCAAGGUCUAUUCCGACAGACUCCUUGACAUAGUCAAUAAAGUAAGACUCCUUGGUACUGAUUUUUCCGAUUCUAGAAUAGUUCAAAAAAUUCUAGUUACAAUCCCUGAAAAGUACGAGGCUACAAUCGCGGCCUUGGAAAACUCAAAAGAUCUGUCAAGCAUCACCUUGGCAGAGUUGUUAAAUGCACUGCAGGCACAAGAACAAAGAAGGCUGAUGAGGCAAGAAGGAUCGGUGGAAGGUGCCUUUCAAGCCAUAUCACAAUACAACAACAGGGGCAAGAACAAGAAAAACAACAAAAAGGUGCCUGGAAAUAACAAAUCUCAAGUAUAUCCACUUUGCCCUUAUUGCAAAAAAACCAAUCAUCCGCAGAAAAGGUGUUGGUGGAACCCAAAUGUAAGAUGUCACAAAUGUGGUCAGUUAGGGCACGUGGAAAAGAUAUGCAAGUCUCAACAGCAACAAGAAGAAGCCAAGGCUGCUGAGAAUCAACCUCAGGAAGAGCAAUUGUUUGCAGCUUCAUGUUUUGCUACUAAUAGCUCCAUGGAAAGCUGGCUUAUAGAUAGUGGUUCUACAAACCACAUGACUUAUGAUCGAGAGCUUUUCAGAAAGCUUGAUAAAACUACUACCACUAGAGUCCGGAUUGGAAAUGGAGCUUACCUUGCUGUAAAAGGCAUAGGAACAGUGGCAAUUGAAGGGUACACAGGUUUGAAAUUAAUUUCUGAUGUUUUAUAUGUUCCAGAAAUUGAUCAAAAUCUUUUGAGUAUUGCUCAGUUGUUGGAAAAAGAUUAUAAGGUGCUAUUUGAAGAUAAAAGCUGCAUAAUUAAAGAUCCAGAAGGAAGAGAAAUGUUCAGAAUUCAAAUGAAAGGCAAAAGUUUUGUUUUGGAUCUGAUGAGAGAGGAGCAAGCGGCUGUACACAAAGAAAUUAAUGAUGCAGCGCUUUGGCAUAAGAGAUUGGGCCAUUUUCAUCAUGUUGCUCUGUUGUUCAUGAAGAAAAACAACUUAGUAGAAGGUAUGCCUGAGUUAGAUGAAGAGCUUCCUACUUGUGCUGCUUGUCAAUAUGGGAAGCAAUCAAGGCUUCCUUUUCCCCAAAGUACAACGUGGAGAGCUACACACAAGUUGUAAUUGAUACAUACAGAUGUUGGAGGACCUCAGAAAACACCAUCUUUGAAUGGUAGUAAGUUUUAUAUUCUCUUCAUUGAUGAUUACACUAGAAUGUGUUGGAUUUAUUUCAUGAAAUUCAAAUCUGAGGUUGCUGACAUCUUUUGGAAGUUUAAAGCGUGGGUUGAAAAUCAAAGUAGUUGCAGCAUACAGGUGAUCAGGUCCGAUAAUGGAACUGAAUAUACCUCAAAAAAAUUCAACAAAUUCUGUGAAGAUGCAGGCAUAGAGCACCAACUGACAGCCCCCUACACUCCCCAGCAAAAUGGAGUGGUGGAGCGUAAAAAUAGGACGCUUAUGGAGAUGACAAGAUGCUUGUUGCAUGAUAAAGGGCUGCCAAAGAAAUUUUGGACGGAAGCUAUGAACACGGCAAUUUUUAUACUAAACAGAUUGCCAACGAAAGCUCUACAGAAAAAGACGCCAUUUGAAGCAUGGCAUGGCUACAAGCCAAAAUUGCUUUAUCUAAAGACCUUUGGUUGUUUGUGUUACUUUUAUAUUCCUCAGGUUAAAAGAGACAAGUUAGACAAGAAAGCAAAGUCGGGGAUUUUUGUAGGCUAUUGCUCAUCUUCAAAGGCCUACAGAAUCUAUUCACCACAAAGCAACAAAAUAAUUGUGAGCAGGGAUGUUAAAUUCCUUGAGUCAAACAGCUGGAGUUGGGAAAAUGAAGAUAAAUUUGAAAUGCAGGUAGAGAAUGAUGAUGUCGAUGAAGAACCUGUUAGAGGAACCAGAUUACUCUCUGAUAUUUAUCAGAGAUGUAAUGUUGCUGUUAUGGAGCCUGCAGGAUUUAAAGAAGCUACAACUGAUCAGAAAUGGAUAGUUGCAAUGAAGGAGGAGCUCAAAAUGAUAGAUAAAAAUCAAACUUGGGAGUUGGUGGACAGACCUACACACAAAAAGGUGAUAGGUGUCAAAUGGGUUUAUAGAACCAAAUUAAAUUCUGAUGGUUCUAUAAACAAGCACAAGGCAAGACUCGUCGUUAAGGGAUAUGCUCAGAUGUUUGGAGUAGAUUUCUCCGAAACAUUUGCUCCAGUUGCCAGAUUGGAUACCAUACGAAUGUUGUUGGCUCUUGCUGCACAAAAGGGCUGGCUUAUACAUCAAUUAGAUGUUAAGUCAGCUUUUCUAAAUGGAUACCUGGAGGAAGAAAUCUUUGUGGAGCAACCUGAAGGAUUUGCUGUUCAAGGAAAAGAAAAUAAGGUGUAUCGUCUAAAAAAGGCAUUGUAUGGUUUAAAACAGGCACCGAGGUCUUGGUACAGCAGAAUUGAUGCACACUUGAUGAACUUAGGCUUUGAAAAAAGUCUGAGUGAAUUUACCUUAUAUAUCAAAAAGGUUGAUGGUGAAAUACUUGUGAUAUCUUUAUAUGUUGAUGACCUUCUUGUUACAGGAAGCAGCAAGGAGUUGAUUGAUAAGUUCAAAAAGGAGAUGGAAGAUGUCUUUGAAAUGACUGAUAUUGGUAUGAUGUCAUUCUUUCUUGGUAUGGAGAUACAACAAAAGCAAAAUGAAGUGUUUAUAUGCCAGCAAAAGUAUGCAAAGGAGGUCCUGAAAAAUUUAACAUGGAAGGGUGCAAAUCAACUGCGACUCCAAUGAAUCAAAAGGAGAAGUUUUGCAAAGAAGAUGGAGCUGAAAAAGUUGAUGAAGGGCUGUAUAGAAGCUUAAUAGGCUGUCUAAUGUAUUUGACUGCAACCAGGCCAGAUAUCAUUCAGGCAGUGAGUCUGUUAUCAAGAUACAUGCACUGUGCUAGUGAAAUUCAUUUUCAAGCAGCAAAAAGGAUUUUGAGAUACGUUAAAGGUACUGUUGAUUAUGGAAUAAGGUUCAGUCAAGUUAAAAAUUUCAAUUUUCAUGGUUUUUCUGAUAGUGAUUGGGCUGGAUGUGCUGAUGAUAUGAGGAGCACCUCAGGUUACUGUUUUAUUUUUGGGUCUGGAAUUUUUUCAUGGUGUUCAAAGAAGCAGGAUGUCAUAGCUCAAUCCACUGCAGAAGCAGAAUAUGUAGCUGCCGCUGCUGCUGUGAAUCAAGCACUAUGGAUAAGAAAACUCAUGACUGAUCUACACAUGAAACAGGAAGAUUGCACUCAGAUAUUUGUUGACAAUGAGGCUGCAAUUUCUAUUUCCAAUAAUCCAGUAUUCCAUGGCAAAACGAAACAUUUCAAGAUAAAGCUUUAUUUUUUGAGGGAAGUGCAAAAGGAGGGAGAAGUGCAGCUGAUUUUCUGUAAAACAGAAGAUCAAAGUGCUGAUAUCUUUACGAAGGCUCUUCCCAAGGAAAGAUUUGAGUUCUUGAGGCAAAAACUUGGAGUAUGCAGUUCCAAAACCAAGGAGGAGUGUUGAAUAGCAUGUUUUGUGAAACUGCUAACAGAUUGCAGGAGUUAGUUGUUCACGUUGCUAUUUUUAGGCAAUAGAUAAGUCAAAGUAUUUGAUAUGAUUUUGAUUCUAGAAUCUUAUCUCUAGCAGAUUUUUUUCCAGAUUUUCUCUAAUUCUGUUUUGUUUAUGUUAUAUAAAAGCAUGGCUUAUGACUCAAUAAACAUCAGACUUCUGCAAUACAAAAGUAUUCACUCUUGCUCUACCUUUUUCUGCUCUAAUACCCAACAACUUCUCAUGAAAAUAGCAGGUUGGAGGCUACGUAAUUGGGCACAGAGGACUGGUUUUACUUACUGUUAGGGACGCAGAGCAUGAAGUUCCAAGCCAUCAACCAGAGCGUUCACUAACCGUGAUCGCAUCUUUCCUUCAAGGGAAACUUCCUCCUCCCAAAAAAAAAAAAAAUUCCUCCUGAACUUCGAUAGCACUGCUCAUUCGACUGCCAAUCCUACAGCAGUAGAGAUUUAUAAAGCAACAUGCUGAAUCAAUGAGAACUGUAUCCUCUAUUUGCCAUUGCACAAACUUAGCUUCAAGGGGAAUUAAUGGCAUAUAUCCAGCUAAUCUCCUCGUCAAUGAGACACAACAUGCCACGAGACUUGUAUACGGAAACUAAUAAAUUUUUGGGGGACAAGAUCGGCCAGCCAAAAUAUAUAUUAUUUAUUGCUCAAUUUAUUAUUAGCAGGAGGAUCAAUAGUUUAUAUAAAGUCAAAGCUGAACGCAUUGACAUAUGAUUUCAACCCCAAAAAAAAAAAAAAUUAAAACAUUUACACGACAAAAAAAAUACUAUAUACAGUUUUAAGAAUUUUUCCAGCCCCCCGUGUCUCAGAUCUCUAAGCUACACCUUCCUUGUCCCAUAGAAAAAUGGGCUUGCUCAUAAGCAGAACAAUCAACAUUUUCCCGUUAAAUUGUCCACAAUCUUCUCGCUCUCUCUCAAGUGUUCCUAGAAGCAUACAGUCCAUCCUGAAUGAUGCACUACUUUUACAGUCUUCACCUGCAAAGUUCAUGGUCAAAUCAAAAUCACAGGUUUGAGCUACAUAUAAGGAGACUAUUAUAUAUGUCGUCUUAUGUUACCUGGAAAGGUGGAAAAGCCAUUCAGAAAGGACUAUUAGACUCUCUGGACUUGCUCCUGAACUUUCAAAGCUUCCACAAUGCUGUCAACCCAGCUGCAAGGAGGCAUGAAAUGAGAUUGCUUAAUGUAGUAGAUGUUACUAGUCGAUCUCUUGUUUUGAAAAUAAAAGAUGAAAAUAUUACGUGGAAGACCACAAUCGAAGAGGACUUGAGAAUUGGAGAACUGUUUGAAGUUGAUAAAAAAAAGAGGAGGAUAUUAGUGGAAGCCAACUUGCAGACCAAUGGAUCACUAACACAAUGGUGUAGUCCAGGAAAGAGUGAAAAAAGGGGGUCAAUACUUGGCAUAGAUGAGCCUGGAAAGCUUUAAAAGUACUGGCUUCAGACCAUUGCAUAGCUGAGGCACUGGGGCGACUUGAACCUAUAUCGGAACAUAUUUCUGCCUUCAUGCCACAAUAGAUACAGCACCUUCACUCUACUCAUAAUUAAAGACGUUGCAGAAAGUAAAUUCCCUUGAAAAGAAAACUAUUACCCAUCAAGACCAGGAUCUACUGGAUAGUAUACAUUUGUUAACCCUAGUCUUUUUGCAGCCGAAGCAGUUGUCUCGCCAAUACAAGCAACAGCAUUACCCCACCUCUCCAGUUCUGGAAUAAGAUUAAUCCAAGCCCUAUUGCAGAGCAGAUGCAAAAUGAGCAUUAAUAACAGCAAAAAAUGCAGGUAAAAGGUAAAGCACUGACUGCAAAAGUAGAUAAAGUCUUGCAUUCAUCUCAUGUAAUAUACGUCAUUAAAGUGAUAUUACCACAAAGCCAGAACUAAAUGUUGAUCUAUUGUCCAGACCAACUGAUCCAGAGCAGUCAAUGCCAGUAAUAGAACAUUUUUUUUCCUUUUACACACAUGAACUGACAUACACAACAUUGUAAGAGAAAGAACCUUCUGCUCUGCGGUAAUUUAAAAGGGCAAAAGUUUUACCGCAGAGCAGAAGGUGAUGCCACAGCAACAACAGGAGCCGCAAGUGCCUGUCUCAAAACCAUCUGAUCAACUUGAUCCACAGGUACCUACACAUUUGGUAGAGCUCAGAGUCAGCAAUAUGAAGCAGGCAAACACAAAAAGAAAAGGAUAUUUGGCAAUUGGCAUGACUUGAGCAAAUGGAGACUACACAUGCAAUAACCUGCUAUUCCCCAGGUAGCAAGGAACUGGGAAGUUAUAAACAUACUGAAUAGCUUCCAUGAUAAAAAUCCUAAUUAAUAACUAUCCAAAACUCAUUUCCCCAGACAACAGUUAAAUGAACAUGGAAAUCCAAGCCCUUGGAACCAGCAUAGAAAAUUAUUGUAUUAUGAAAUUUUAAAAUCAAAGUGAAUGACACAGCCAAACUGAAUCCUUAACUCCAUAGACGUGAACAAGUUGUAUCCCUAGUUCCAGGCAACAAAAUAUUGAGAUGCAUGCCAAUCCCACCCAAAAAAAAAAUCAUCUAAACAAAAGCACAUAAGGAACACAAUGCAAAAACAGUAGCAGACAACUGUCACUAUUGAAUUCCCAUCAUGAUAUCUACAAACAGCAAAUCAUACAUUGCCAUCAAGGCAUGAAAGCAAAGACGAGAAUUUAUUGAUAAUUUCACACCAUAUUUACCGUUGUGUAUGUAUUAAGCCGAAUGACCUCAAAUCCACGCUCCGAAAGACCUUCCUCUGGAAAUUAUUAGAAAACACAUCUACUUAGUAUUGCUUUUAUUAUAUAUAAUCACAUAUGGAAACAAAGAGCAAAAGGAACAUGCUCUGCAAGGAUGAACGUAACUGCAAAAACAGAUAAAUGGUAUCAAAAUGCUGGGAAAGAAAAGCUCAAGGAAAUGGCUAAACUCCACCGAAAUAGAAUCCCUUUAUGUAGAGAUAACCUUCAGCAUCAUUCAUGAUUCGACAGAGAAUCACCAUAUUGCAAAAUGAGCCAUAACUUGAAUACAUAAAGUUUCUAAAACUACUUAGUAUUGCAUCUCUUCAUUUAUGUUGUCCAUCUCUCCAUAUUCUCCUCUAAUAAAACUAGAGAAAAAAAUCUUCAGCAAUUUAUUACACAGCCUCUCAUUAUCUUCAAAGAUGCAGAAGAAAUAGAACUGAAGUCGCUACAUAAGAAAUAUCCAACUCCAAAUCUUUUCAGUUAAUAAGAUUAGCUUAAUCUUAAUUAAUAUAGAUCAGUUCCAGGAAAAUGGAAAGUAAAACAUAACUUACUGAUGAUUAUGCCUGUAGAGACAGCAAAACGGAAAAACGGCAUUACAUAGGCCACCAAUAUGGCAGGUGAUGAAGCGAUGAUUGAGAUGAGUUUCUUAAGUGCUUGUAGAUGUUAGUUAUACUAAUCUACAAUGUGCUUAGAUGAAAUAGAGUAAGUUUGGUAUCCAGUAAGUGGAAAAGAAAACCAAGAUGCCUGUUCACUCAAAGCACUUCUAGUGCAUACAUGUUAACUUAUGUGGUGUUUUUUCACUUUCUAGCAUAUCAAAGGAUAAUAUAAUACACCUGUGCAUAUAGAUACUUGUCUGUGUGUAUGUGUGCGCGCAGAAUCUUUAUAGAUGAAAGUAACACAUACCAAUAUCACUGCUAGCUUUUGCUGAAGCAGGAUAUAGGACACUACAUCUUUCAUUUCCAUGCUUUGGAAGCUCUGAAGCCAAAAUUUUGCCGGUAGCUGAAAAUUACAAUUGAAUUCAAGUUUUCAGGUUUUCAGCAAGCAAAGGUGGCUGCCCAUUUUGGUGAGGAAAUAGACACACAAGCAACAAGCAGUAACAAUAUACAGAAAAAUAUUUUCUGUGGCAUACUGUCCAAGGUUGAGAAAUACUUUAACCGCAAACCUUUUGAUGGUGCAAAAGCAACAUGUAGGUACUGUUUUGAUUGUUGUGCAGCUUUUUCAAAUAUACUAGCUGUACCACCACCAACGACACCAACCUUAACAUUUGGGGUACCUGCUGCUCUGUAACAGAAAUUUGUUACAAGUUUAUUGACCAGGUAUCUUAAAAGAUCACGAUCAAGAGUAGCAGAAAUAAAUGGCUAACUCAUGCGCAUUACUUAAUUUGAAGAGGGUAAUUCUUCUGUCAAGUCAAUUUUCUAGUGGAUUUCCUGUCCACUAGGUGACUUUGUCUUGUUAUUAUAAUUUCCUCUAGCAGAAAACUGACAUGCUUGAGUGAAAUCUUCACCCUAAAGGCGAUUCUAAGAUAUGCCAACAGAAAAUAAGAAGUCUGCUGUAACAAAACUGCGAGUCCUGCUGUGACUGUCUUUUAAAAUGCUUCAUUUUGGAAUAAUUCCAAUUACCCUCUUUCUCCAGUGGGCAUAAAGUUCUGCAGACACAAUCCUGACUCUCAUAUAUUUUAGAAUUGGCUAUUGGAUUCAAUUCACAUUUAUCCCACUAUUACUAACCUUAUCCAAUAGGUUAUAAAGCGAUCGAGACAUAUGCAUAACCAAACUCUCCUCUUAUUCUCAGCUUUAAAUUAAAGGGGAACCAAACAUAAAAAGUUCAGCAUUCAAAAAUGCAGUUAUAACCUAGGCCAAGGCAAAACUAGCAUUGCAUAGUCAUGAAACGGGAUCACAGGACUUCAGAAAUGUGGUUAAAACAUAAUUUUUGCUUAUUUACUUUCAUAAACUCAAAUGGCAAAAAAAAAAUGUAUCAUGAGAAUCUUCAAAUUUCAUUUGUCAUCAGAUACAUUCUUUGGAGAACCAUCUUUGUAGGUUACCAGAUAGGGCCAGAAGCAAUACUUUUCCAAAGAAUGCAGAAGUACUUAUCAAUUAAGAGAUGGAUCAUGUUCAAAGAUAACCUACGUCUUCCCACUUCAGCUACAGUCAGGAAAAACUUACUUCCAAGCAUCAAGGAAAACUGUUCCUGCUUCCGGUGAAGUUACGAUGACCCAGUCAAAAGCAGUCUCUGUUGCCACAAGGAAUAAGAAAGGCAUGGACUUGGGAUCAAUAAAGAAUCAAUACUAGAUUUUACUCUUUCUUAUUAUGAAAUCAAAGUGUGAAAAUAAACUAGGGUGAAGCACACAACGGAAAUAAAUACCAGAGCAAUCAGGCAUAUCAAACACUAUCGAGUAUAACAGUUAAGCAAUCAACACUCAAGCAGCAGGCUGAUGGAUGAUGCACACAGCUUUAGCUAACACUCCCGUCGCCCUAUUUCCAAAAUCUUUCCCUCCCUCUCCAUUCGUAGUAACCAUGAUUAUCACAUGAACAAAUAAAUUUGAUCACGUAGACAUUCCCAGUAAACUAGGCAAUUGGGUGAGUUUCAAACUAAUGCAAACCACGAAUGGGGAAUGAACUCACCACUUAACAAACACGACAGCCUGUUUGAAUCAGGUAACAGCUCAUGCUGGAUAAGAGGAAGCUCUAGACAAUCAAUUCCAUGUUUCCCCUGCAGCACAUGAUGAAAAUUCCAUCUUAAUCCCGGGUUUUCUAAUUUAUGAAUCCAAUCAGGAUACUACCUUCAGCAUACUACACUUAUGAUGGUGUUAGAAAGGCACUAAAGGAAUGCCAGUACACUUGCAGUAUACAUUUGGUGGAAAAUGAUGCUCGAUAGUGUUUUUUUUUUUUUUCCCAACAAACAGCUGACUUUCAGCUCAUUUCUACAGAAGCAACAGUAAGACAGUAAACAAAGCCACAUUUCAGCUUAGUAUAUGAUCAAAAACCUAAAAUGCGUGAAACGACGCCCAUAAUACAGCAUUAAAACUCGUAAUUCAGGUCUACAUACUUUACACUGAAACCAACGGCCACACCGUUCCUGGAGGCAACCAGAAGAUUUACGAGUAACUACAUCAAAUGCAAAAUGCUAAUACACAUACAUUAACAUAAUUGCUGCUACAGAGAAAGAGAGACAGAGACAGAGACAGAGACAGAGAGAGAGAGAGAGUGGUUACAUACCAGAGCAUUUAUGAGCUUCGCGUUUUUGCCACGCUCUCUAGUGACCACGACUUUCGGCUGCGACGUUGAGGAAGCAGACGACGCCGAAUUAACUGAAGACGAAGCACGCAGGCACGUUAUCCUGCGAAAUUGCAGAGAGGACGACGACGACGACGGAGCAAGAGGAGGAGGAAGAUGAAGAGAGGAGGAGGUGAGAGAAAGCCAAGGCAUUAUUGUGGUAAACGUGGAGCUAGGAAAAUCGGGCGAAAGAGCCAGCUGCAACCCCCUACCAAAUUUUUUAUAUUUAAUACUGCUACUGCCAUAUUUAUCCUAGUCCUGACCCACCUCAGUCUCACUCAAUUUAAUUCCUAGUGCCUUGACAAUUGAAAAACAAACAACUUUGGGCAAAUGUCCAAUUUGGUCCUAAAACUUCAUCUCACCAAUAUUUAUAAGUCUUUCGAAAUUUAUUUGCUUUUAUUUCUGUAACAAUCUUCAAUCGCUCAAUAUAGUAGUAUUCAAUAUCAAUAAUAACGUUGUCUAAAAAAAUUAAUAUGUAUGCGUCACACCAUACGAUUAGGAAUCAUAAAUAUUCUUUUUAUCUGUUUUUCUCAAUUAAUAUGUAUGCGUCACAAAUCAUAAAUAUCAUAAAUCGCUCAAUACUACUAGGAGUGUUUGGAUAGCAAUUUUUUUCAAAUAAUAUUUCGCUUACAUCAUAAAUGCAUUUUUCAAUUCAUCUUUUUAUCUCACAUAUAUCACAUCAUAAAAACUGUUAUAAUAAUUAUUACAAAUAAUAUUUCAAAUAAUAUUUUAUCCAAACAAAUUAUUUGAAAUCAUAAAUAUUCUUUUCAUUGCUUUUCUCCUGCUAGUUGAGUUAAAGUUAAGUUUAUUGGAAGGAGUAAAUAAUUUCUCACUCGAGCAACUAUUGACAGAGUAAAUGGGUGCAGAAACUUAAAGAAUAGGGGCCAAAUGGUUGGGAUCAAAAGUUUGGGGACUAAAUCUAUCUUGGUAAAUUAGUGGAUGACUGGAUUCGCUAUUUCCGCAAGAAAAAUUGAUUAAUUAAGCUUGGUUGAUUGAUUGAUGGCCUAAUCCAGAUAUUUUGGAAUAAAAGUGGUCUGACUUCGACGUAUUAGUGGUAAGUUGGCCCCCCCACUGGGUUGAAGGGACACCGCGGCCCACCUCGUGAAAUGAUGGCUCCUGCUCCUUUAUUAGGAAACGAAGUGGAAUCGCGAUGCUUCCCAGAAGGGUUGAUCUGGGCCGUCUAUCGGAUUGGGAGGAUAAUUAAAGGAGUUGUCGGGGGAGUGAUCUGACGGUGAGAUCUGGGACUGGGUUCCCGUCGGGUGCGCGUCAACGUUGCUGAUUGAUUGUUGUGGUGCAACCCAACUGCCAACAUCGCAACCAAGCUCAUGCACAAUCUGCUGAUGUGUGCCCUCUGAUGAGGCAGGCUCGUACAAGCUGGAACAUGCUUAUGCCUUAUGAAAGAUGAAAUGAUAUUUGAAUUGAGUACGAUUCAAUAAAAUUUAAUUCGAAAUUGAUUCUCUAAUUAUUCAAAUAAUAAUUAAGAUUGAGUAGCAUUUCUGUGUUUACCAAAUAUUUAAAUUCCACUUGAUUAGCAUAAAUUAAAAUUUAUGAUAUUUUGAUAAAAUUAAUAUCUGAAAUUUAAAAUCUAAAAUCUGAAAUUUGAAUCUAUUAAAUUAUUGAGUCGUUAAACACUAAAACUCUAAUAUCUGAAUUCUUUAAGUUUUGAAACCCUAAUAUUCAAGCAUAUUCUGCAUUAAGUAGGAAGUGUACCGCUAUCACUAAUUUUUUUUUUAAAAUAAGAUGUUAUAUUUUUUGUUGCCAAACAAGUCUAAAGCUUUUAAACACUAGAUUGAAUGAUCAAACAAGAUCUAAUACAUUUAAACGAACUCGAAUCGAGUUUGGUUCAAUAAAAAAAACUCAUUUAAACUUGGAUUAGUAAAUAAAUUAAUUAAUUAAAUUUAAAUACAAUUUUAACCUUAUUAAACUAGGCGACUUGAGUGUUUGAUUUGAUUUAACUUAUUUAUACACCCACUUGUAGUUCCAUUUUUGGUAAAAUUCAUACUCUCUACUUAAACGAGAAGAUUAUCCGAUUUGGCAUUAUAGUCUUCCAAAAUGCAACCUUUAAAACGUAUUUUUGUGCUUGAUCUCCUAAUGGAGCUCACACUUCGACAAUGGUGCAUGAGAAAUGGGGCCUUUAUCAAAUCUCAAGAGCCCGGAAAUUUCACCUCACAUGAAGAUAUGGGCUGUCAACAAAUGCUUAACAAGAAUGUCUAGUACACUAGUUGUCACUCAAUGGAAAUGGGGCAGUGACAACCGUUCCUGAAGGUUCACGGCCACGAUGUGGCCUCAAAAAUUUGUGCGGCUCAGAUUACACCAUAUAACUCGAUUUUCACGUCAUGUGUGGGAUCCACAAAAAAGUGUUGUAAAAUUACGUCGUGUGCAAAGUAAGUUACAUCGUGUACAAUAAAAAUUACGCGCCGUGAAAAAUAAAUACAACCUGCAAUCGUUACCCGCACAAACGAUUGCAGGUGCAACCGUUUGUGCCCCUUGUCCCUCACUCAAUUGGGCCUGACAACAUUGUACCACUAGCCUUGACACCAACGUGGUAUGUGCAUCAAUAGUAAUCGACCAUCACUUCUUGCACAUUUAUUAUUUUUUCCUUUUCCUCCAGUCCACAGAACGCCGACCUCAGCCGGAGUUAACUUUUCCGAAUGGGAGGAGCAUUCUGCGAGCCAUUAAGGUUUUUAUAACUUAUAGUAAGUGUGGCACAUUUAUCAGAAGGAACUGAACACUACUCCAAUUCAUAAUUGACCAAACUCCUCAACGAAUGUAUAAAGUAUAUAGCAACGUGAACACCACAGAAUUCGAAUACAUCCCUGCCUCUUUAUCGUCAUCAUCAGAGGUGCCAGAGCAGCAAGUGCUCGGAUGAGCAGGCUAAUAACAAAUAAAGAAUUAAGUGCUCACAAUCCAUAUCAAUGUUAUUUAUUCAAAUUAAGAAGUUCCAAUAUUAUGCUCACACUUCUAAACAAAUGUUUAAUCAAGCCCCUAGAGAACAACUACCUGAUUUCUAGUCAAAAUUCAGUUCCCCUCUCAGAUUUCGGAGGGAAUAACAGGGUUCCAAAUUCCCACAAGCUCAACAGAGAGACAAAAGCACCCAUGUGCCUCAUCUGCUGAAUCGCUGUGAGCUCGGCCGUCUAGCUUACUU